GCGCGGUCGCCCUUCAGGCCUGAGGGGCGGCGCGGCGGGGUGAGGCGGAAGAGCGGCGGGCUGCGUCCGCAGACACCUUGUUCGCCCGGGCGCCCGGCCCUGCACGAUCCCUGCGCAGGCCGGCUCGCCCUCGCGGUUAAUUGGGGUCCGAACUGCACAAGCUAAGCCCCGGGAACCUCCCGGCCCGAGCCACAGCGGGCCACUCCUACUGGUCCUGUUCUGAAAGGCCACAGGUGACUCAGCCUCAGAGUGACAAAGUCAUACACAGAAGUGGAUAAUGCACCGUUAGCUGUGACCAACGUGCUGAAACGAGUCCUCAUAUUUCAGAGGAAAACAGAUUUGAGAUCUCCGAGGCCUUUUAUCCCUGGAGUUGGGGUUGAAGCUCUGUGUAGAAGAGAUGGGAGAAAGGCUGGGCAGCUGGUGGCUGAGGCUGGGGCCACUGCCACCUCCCCACAUGGCCCCAGCAUACACUGCCCUAGGUUGUUCCUGGGAUAGGACAAGGUGUCCUGAGGGCAGAGGCUGUGUUGCAUUUAUCUCCAUGUCCCCUACACCCACUGUAGUUCUUGGUACAUAGUUGGUGCUCAAUGAAUGUUGAACUUGAAGAGCAGAUGGGGUUGGGGGAUUCGGCUGCUUCCAGGUGGCCACUGGGGGAACAACAGAGACUGUGCCUUGCCUGGUGACUGGGACUCUGUGGGGGCGGGGCUGCCCAUUACAGGCAGCCACUGGGUGGCCAGGGCCUAACACCCCCCACUCCCCCUGCACUCAUGCCUAGUGCUCUUUCAUUAACAAGAUUCUUUCUUUAGCAAUUCGGCAAAGGCCAAGUCCAGCCUAGUGUUUCCAUGCAGGAAUUUCUUCUGGGCAUUUUGGGGGAAAUUACGUAUUUUUCCACAUCCUGAAUCCUGAGAAAAAUCAAUUUGGCAAAACUGUUAUAGUUCUUCGUUGAGCUUAACAAUCAACAGAGAGUUGUUACUGGUUUGAACUCAAAAUCAGGAGUAGGAAAGUGAUGGCAUCUCUGAAUUGAACAUUAAGGUUUUUGGGAACAGGAACAGGAGCAUGAAGGAGAGACAUGGUCACCACAUAAUCACUCUUGUGUGUAGCUGCUGCAAUGUUAUGAGUGUGUGUUUGUGGACCUGCCUGGUUCUGUGAGUUAUCGUUGCAAAUAAAAUAAAUAUUAAUAGGUUUAUAAGCUUUUAGUAUACGUUUUAUAAAUCCUGUGAGUGAAAUUCCAGGAAAUAACAAGUUUUGAAAGCAAAACUAAGUCCCUAAAUUGACAAUUUCAAACCAUGAUUCUGUGUAAUGCUGUUUACUUUGGUAGAAGAUCUGAAUGUUAUAUUAUCCAAAACAGGCACACCUCAUUUUAUUGCACUUCGUUUUAUUGCACUUUGCAGACAUAUUGCACUUUUUACAAAUUGAAGGCUUGUUAUAACCCUGUAAGCAAAUCUGCUGGCACUAUUUUUCCAACAGCAUGUGCUCACUUUCUGUCCGUGACACAUUUUGGUAAUUAUUGCAAUGGUUUGGAAAUUUUCACUGUUAUUAUAUUAUGGUGAUCGGUGGUCAGUUAUCUUUGAUAUUACUAGUGUAAUUGUUUUGAGGCACCAUGAAUUGUGCCAAGAUAGCAAACUUAGUCAAUAAAUGUUGUUUGUGUUC